rnacentral:tRNA from 1 species
GGUGGUGGCUCAGUGGCAGAACACUCGCCUACCAUUUGUGAGGCACUGGGUUCGAUUCUCAGCAUCA